UGCAACCUACCUGUUACAGGGAGAUAGCCCGGGGAAACCCGGAUUAAUAUCCCAUAGGAUAUAUUAACUGCAUGGUUUAUAUAUUAAAGCCUUCGGGUGGUAACAGACGGGCAUGCGUAGGAUUAGCUAGUUGGAGAGGUAACGGCUCACCAAGGCGACGAUCCUUAGGGGUUCUGAGAGGAAGGUCCCCCACACUGGCACUGAGAUACGGGCCAGACUCCUACGGGAGGCAGCAGUAGGGAAUAUUGGUCAAUGGGCGAGAGCCUGAACCAGCCAUGCCGCGUGCAGGAAGACGGCGUUCUGCGUUGUAAACUGCUUUUAUCUGGGAAGAAAAAGCCCUUGCGAGGGAAAUUGCCGGUACCAGAAGAAUAAGCACCGGCUAACUCCGUGCCAGCAGCCGCGGUAAUACGGAGGGUGCAAGCGUUGUCCGGAUUUAUUGGGUUUAAAGGGUGCGUAGGCGGCUGAUUAAGUCAGCGGUGAAAGUUCUCGGCUCAACCGAGAGACUGCCGUUGAUACUGGUCAGCUUGAGUUAUGGAGGGGUACAUGGAAUUUAUGGUGUAGCGGUGAAAUGCAUAGAUACCAUAAGGAACACCGAUAGCGAAGGCAUUGUACUGGCCAUAAACUGACGCUGAGGCACGAAAGCGUGGGUAGCGAACAGGAUUAGAUACCCUGGUAGUCCACGCCGUAAACGAUGAUCACUCGCUUUACAUUACGUAGUAAUUUGAGGCCAAGCGAAAGCGUUAAGUGAUCCACCUGGGGAGUACGCCGGCACGGUGAAACUCAAG
rnacentral:rRNA from 1 species